rnacentral:lncRNA from 1 species
UUAUGAUUGAAGUUAUUUGUUGAAUAAUUAUUAUGAUGAUGUAUGAUCACAAAGAAUGACAUGGUUGAUUUGACUCAAAUAUCAUUUAUUUAUAUUAUUUUGAAAAUAAUAUAUGAAUUGGAAGAUAAUAUGAAAUUGACAAUCUGACUGUGUUGAGGACCCCGCCAAUGGGGGCAUAUACAUUGGCAAUUGACUGUCCUGAGGAUUUAUGUCGCCAAUGAGACCAGCGACAUGUCGCCAGAUAGACCAGCGACAAAACUGCCAGCGAGACCAACGGUUCCAAAGGACUUGGCUGCCAGAUGAUUCGCAGCCCACCGCAAGCAGAUACGCGGUAUUAUGACCCUGCCACAGGGAUAAUGUGGUCAUAGUCAUGAUUGGUAAGAAGAACUUAAGAAAUUGAUGAAUUUAAGAUGAAAAGCAUAAUUGAAAAUUAU